GCAGGGGUGGCUGAGCCUGGAAAAAGCGGCGGGUUUAGGGCCCGCUCCCUUAGGGGUUCAAGAGUUCAAAUCUCUUCCCCUGCA
rnacentral:tRNA from 1 species